AGAGCGAUAGUUCAACUGGAAGAACACCUAGUGGCCAACUAGGAGGAUGUGGGUUCGAAUCCUGUCUCGCUCUU
rnacentral:tRNA from 1 species